rnacentral:rRNA from 1 species
AUGAGCAACUUAGAAUUUACAUGCUAUGAAUCUUUGCACUUCAUCCGGAAGGAGGCUCAUAGCAAGAAAAGGAGCCACAAUACUUUGAUGUCUAGUAGGACCGAAGUUGAAGGAAAAUUAAUGAUGUGUUACAUAAUUCACAUUACUCCAUCCAAAAGAUUCUGCUUGGGACCUGAGGUAGAAGUUUCAAAUUAUGUGGUUAAGCCUCAUAGUAAAUAUGCUUCUAACUUUGAUAGAGUUACUUUUGUUAAGAAGACUGGACUAAGCUGUUUCCAGAUGUUAUCUCUUCUAGAACUAGAUGAGGGUUCUUUUCCCAUCCCUUGA